rnacentral:rRNA from 1 species
GACUUCGGACGGUAUCUCGGCUCCGAUCGAUGAGACGUGCAAUGCGUACUUGGUGUGAUUGCAGAAUCCGUGAACCAUCGAGUUUUUGAACGCAGUUGCGCCCGAAGCAUUCCGGUUGAGGGCAGGUCUGCUGGGCGUCA